rnacentral:rRNA from 1 species
AACGAACGCUGGCGGCAUGCCUAACACAUGCAAGUCGAACGAGACCUUCGGGUCUAGUGGCGCACGGGUGCGUAACACGUGGGAAUCUGCCCUUGGGUUCGGAAUAACAGUUGGAAACGACUGCUAAUACCGGAUGAUGACGUAAGUCCAAAGAUUUAUCGCCCAAGGAUGAGCCCGCGUCGGAUUAGCUAGUUGGUGGGAAGG